ACCCAGCAUGGACAUGAGGGCCCCGGCUCAGCUCCUCAGCCUCCUGCUGCUCUGGCUCCCAGGGGCCAGGGGUGAUAUCCAGAUGACCCAGUCCCCACCCUCCGUGUCUGCAUCUCCGGGAGACAGAGUCACCAUCUCCUGCCGGGCCAGCCAGAGUGUUAGCUACACUCGGUUAGCCUGGUACCAGCAGAAACCUGGGCAGGCUCCCAGGCUCCUCAUCUAUGGUGCAUCCAACAGGCCCAAUGGCAUCCCAGCCCGCUUCAGUGGCAGCGGGUCUGGGACAGACUUCACGCUCACCAUCAGCAGCCUGGAGCCUGAGGAUGCCGCCACUUACUACUGUCAGCAAUAUAACAGCUACCCGCCCACGAUCUCACUGUGGCUCACGUUCGGCCCCGGGACCAAGGUGGAGCUCAAACGAGAUGUGGCUAAGCCUUCUGCCUUCAUCUUUCAACCAUCUGAUGAUCAGUUAACCACCGGAAGUGCCACUUUGGUGUGCAUGGUGAAUAACUUCUACCCCAAAGACAUCAGUGUCAAGUGGAAAAUGGAUGGUAUUGCCCAAAAUAACGGCGUGGAAAACAGUUUCACAGAGCAGGACAGCAAGGACAGCACCUACAGUCUCAGCAGCACCCUGUCGAUUCCCAGCACAGAUUACAAUAGUCAUAAUAUCUUCUCCUGUGAGAUCAGCCACCAGAGCUUGAGCUCCCCCCUGAUCAAGAGCUUCAACAAGAAUGAGUGUUAGAGGAGAGGCCUCUCAGGCCCCAUCACCCCACCUCAGUCCCAGUCUCCCCCACUCAGGUUUCCCACCCUUUUCCCACCCUUCCCCCCCCAUGGCAAUCUCCCAUCCCUCUCCAUACUUUGUCCCCCUCCUCCUCUUUGGCUUUAAUCAUGCUAAUGUUGGGGGAGGGCAAAAUGAAUAAAUAAACUGUAUCUUUGCACCUGA